UUGUGAUGCUAUCUCAUUCUUCAAAGCCACC
rnacentral:piRNA from 1 species